UGCCAGAGUGCACUUGACUGGACUCUGAGACCGGGGAAGGCCGAGAUCCAGAGGGGCGGGGUGCCGGGCAGAGCUGCGUGUCCCCUUGAAUUCGUAUGUGGAGUCCCCUCCCCAGGACGGCAGAACGGGACCUGAUUGGCGACAGGGUCACCGCAGAUAUAAUUUGGGCUGGUCUAUAAUCCAUGAAUAAUGGAGAAGCUUACCGAGAGGGGAAGACUGACAAAUGGAACCACUCUAGAAGUUACUUCAAUUGCUCCCCAUAGGAGCAUAGGAACUUGUUCCCCUGAGCUCUGCUGACUGCCCAGGCUGGAACACGCAAGACGCCUUCCAGGGCACUGUUGAGAAUAGAUGCGUAAGGAAAUAAAACAUCCACAGCAGUGGUGUCUCCGUCGGUGGGAAUUAGGAGGAAGCAGAGAGGGGCAGAUAGAGAGGGAGAGAGUC